rnacentral:rRNA from 1 species
CCUACGGGUGGCUGCAGUGGGGAAUAUUGGACAAUGGGCGAAAGCCUGAUCCAGCCAUGCCGCGUGUGUGAAGAAGGCCUUCGGGUUGUAAAGCACUUUCAGUGGGGAAGAAAGCCUUGGGGCUAAUACCCUCGAGGAAGGACAUCACCCACAGAAGAAGCACCGGCUAACUCCGUGCCAGCAGCCGCGGUAAUACGGAGGGUGCGAGCGUUAAUCGGAAUUACUGGGCGUAAAGCGCGCGUAGGCGGUCUGAUAAGCCGGUUGUGAAAGCCCCGGGCUCAACCUGGGAACGGCAUUCGGAACUGUCAGGCUAGAGUGCAGGAGAGGAAGGUAGAAUUCCCGGUGUAGCGGUGAAAUGCGUAGAGAUCGGGAGGAAUACCAGUGGCGAAGGCGGCCUUCUGGACUGACACUGACGCUGAGGUGCGAAAGCGUGGGUAGCAAACAGGAUUAGAUACCCCAGUAGUC